rnacentral:rRNA from 1 species
AUCAAAAACACAGCACUCUGCGAAAUCGUAAGAUGAAGUAUAGGGUGUGACGCCGGCCCGGGGCUGGAAGGUUAAUUGAAGGGGUUAGCGCAAGCGAAGCUCUGGAUCGAAGCCCCAGUAAACGGCGGCCGUAACUAAAACGGUCCUAAGGUAGCGAAAUUCCAUGUCGGGUAAGUUCCGACCUGCACGAAUGGCGUAACGAAGGCCACACUGUCUCCACCAGAGACUCAG